AGGCGUUACAUGAGGAGGUAAGUCCCUGGAGGUCCCACGUUGUCCCAGAUCGACCCACAAGAUGGACUCAUAAUCCUUUGGUCGUUGGUUCAAGUCCAACACGGCCUACCA
rnacentral:tRNA from 1 species